CGAGCGCCAGACAGGCAGACGAGACAAAGGUCUGUCCCCAACCCGGCUAUCCCCUGCCUGUGGUUUCCCUGCUUGUGUGUUUUCUUAGGCUCCUGGUUAACGUCUGAGCUGCCGUGGAGCUGCGAGGCUUUGGCCUGUCCUGCUCAGGUGCCAUGUCUGACGUACUGGUGGGAUUGUGAGUGUGCAGCCGUUGUUGCAACGGCUGGAGCGAUGCUGCUUGGGGUCCGUCUGCUGCUGCCCUGCAGUCCAGCCUAGCCCAUGGAGGGUGCCUUGGAGCAGUGCUGCUGAACAGGCCCGAGAGCCAGCCAGGCCCCUGCGGUGAUUUGGAGGCAGAUCCCGACGCCCGUGAUGGUGGGAGCCAUUCCUCGGCAGCCGCGCCGCUUCUGGGGGGCGCCUGGAUGGCAGGUGUCUCCAGCUAGCUGUGCCAAGGACCGUCUGCUGCUGGGGCAGAACAGCUGCUCGGCGAGGGGUGGGUGAUGCAGCGCUGCAGUGCACUCCGUAGCGGAGGGCUUGUCUGGAGGGAAGGGGUCUGACACACCACCCCCUUUCCUCAGCCCUGUGACCUCGUGACACCGUACACCCCUUCCCUGCCGCUUUAUGGGCUGUUUCGUCUUUGGCUCUGGUUGGG
ensembl:lncRNA